rnacentral:rRNA from 1 species
CUACCAGACUCCUACGGGAGGCAGCAGUGGGGAAUAUUGGGCAAUGGGCGCAAGCCUGACCCAGCAACGCCGCGUGAAGGAAGAAGGCUUUCGGGUUGUAAACUUCUUUUAUGAGGGACGAAAGAAAUGACGGUACCUCAUGAAUAAGCCACGGCUAACUACGUGCCAGCAGCCGCGGUAAUACGGAGGAUCCGAGCGUUAUCCGGAUUUAUUGGGUUUAAAGGGUGCGUAGGCGGAAUGCCAAGUCAGCGGUAAAACCGCGGGGCUCAACCUCGCUCCGCUGUUGAAACUGGCGUUCUUGAGUGGGCGAGAAGUAUGCGGAAUGCGUGGUGUAGCGGUGAAAUGCAUAGAUAUCACGCAGAACUCCGAUUGCGAAGGCAGCAUACCGGCGCCCUACUGACGCUGAGGCACGAAAGCGUGGGUAUCGAACAGGAUUAGAUACCCCAGUACUG